UUGGCGCUUUCGAUUUCCAUCGACUUCGUUGGGUCUUCUUUAAGGUUUUUGGUACGAGUUUGACUUUGAGCGCCUGUUAUAACGGUAAAGCCUCUCGCAUGGUAAAGCUGCUCUCUGUAGCAACAGGUCUGCAGGAUGAACCAGAAUUGAGGAAAAUGUGCAGACACGAUGCGG